rnacentral:rRNA from 1 species
GACGGAGGGUGCAAGCGUUGUUCGGAUUGACUGGGCGUAAAGGGCGUGUAGGCGGUCGGCCAAGUCUGAUGUGAAAGCCCGAGGCUCAGCCUCGGAAGUGCGUCGGAAACUAGUCGGCUGGAGCGCGAUAGAGGAGGGUGGAAUUCCUGGUGUAGCGGUGAAAUGCGUGGAUAUCAGGAGGAACACCGGCGGCGAAGGCGGCCCUCUGGAUCGUUGCUGACGCUGAUACGCGAAAGCGUGGGGAGCAAACAGG